rnacentral:rRNA from 1 species
AACGAACGCUGGCGGCAUGCCUAACACAUGCAAGUCGAACGAGACCUUCGGGUCUAGUGGCGCACGGGUGCGUAACGCGUGGGAAUCUGCCCUUGGGUUCGGAAUAACUUCGGGAAACUGAAGCUAAUACCGGAUGAUGACGUAAGUCCAAAGAUUUAUCGCCCAAGGAUGAGCCCGCGUAGGAUUAGCUAGUUGGUGAGGUAAAGGCUCACCAAGGCGACGAUCCUUAGCUGGUCUGAGAGGAUGAUCAGCCACACUGGGACUGAGACACGGCCCAGACUCCUACGGGAGGCAGCAGUGGGGAAUUUUGGACAAUGGGCGCAAGCCUGAUCCAGCAAUGCCGCGUGCAGGAUGAAGGGCCUUCGGUUGUAACUAGCUUUGUUACGGUAACGAAACGGUA